CGGGUCGCCCACGACGCCGAACACGCCGCACUCCUCGCGGGGGUGGUCGUCGCCGUCGUCCUCCUCGAUAGGGCGGUCUCCGUCGCCGAAGUUGAAGGGCGUGACCUUGUCGAACAGGGCCCUGGCCGGCACAGCGCGGGCGGCGCGGUGGCGCAGCGCGAGGAGCGAGGGGCUGGGGCCGGCAUGGCACCUGAGCUGUCCAUGGACGGGGGAAGGAGCGGGGGGCGUGAAGAGGAGGUUGGAGGAGGCCGUGGCGGGCGGGACGGCGGUGGCGGUGGCGGCGGCGGCCAUCCCUGGAACGCGGCGGGAUUGGGAGG
rnacentral:lncRNA from 1 species